GUCCAGACUCCUACGGGAGGCAGCAGUGGGGGAUAUUGCACAAUGGGGGGAACCCUGAUGCAGCGACGCCGCGUGGGUGAAGGAGCGUUUCGGCGCGUAAAGCCCUAUCGGCAGGGAAGAAGCAAGACGGUACCUGACUAAGAAGCCCCGGCUAACUACGUGCCAGCAGCCGCGGUAAUACGUAGGGGGCGAGCGUUAUCCGGAUUCACUGGGUGUAAAGGGAGCGUAGACGGCCAAGCAAGCCAGGGGUGAAAGCCCGGGGCCCAACCCCGGGACUGCCCUUGGAACUGCAUGGCUGGAGUGCGGGAGGGGCAGGCGGAAUUCCUGGUGUAGCGGUGAAAUGCGUAGAUAUCAGGAGGAACACCGGCGGCGAAGGCGGCCUGCUGGACUGCGACUGACGUUGAGGCUCGAAAGCGUGGGGAGCAAACAGGAUUAGAUACCCUCGUA
rnacentral:rRNA from 1 species